AGUGGUGAACCUGAGCAUCCUGAUAAUCCUUGGGGUGUCACACCGUUCAGAAAGGUGGUUAGCUUACCCUCGAGGAUUGACCCACAUCAAACUUCCGCUGUGGUCACCCUGCACGGACAACUAUUUAUUCGUGUCCCAUUUGAGCAGUCAGACUAGAUAGGAGUUUCACAAAUGUCUAUUGUCCAUUCCCUCCAAUAUUUCUAUUAAGUGGGUGUGCCUACAUUUUUAGUUUUGAACUCUGAUGUAUGUUUCUCCUAAUAGGUAAUAGAUUAUUAUAAUUUCUUAAUAUUUAGCUAGGAGGCUUUUCAAAUAGCUUGUCUUCUUUUGUUAUCUGGUUAAUAUAUCUUUUACUUUUGUUGGGAGGCUUUUACCAAAUUACUCGCAUACUAUAGACUCGUGGGUAUAGUUU
rnacentral:misc_RNA from 1 species